UGUAAACAUCCUACACUCAGCUCUGACACACGGAACGGCUGGGAGGUGGAUGUUUGCUUC
rnacentral:pre_miRNA from 1 species